AUUGAACGCUGGUGGCAGGCCUAACACAUGCAAGUCGAACGGUAACAGGAAGAAGCUUGCUUCUUUGCUGACGAGUGGCGGACGGGUGAGUAAUGUCUGGGAAACUGCCUGAUGGAGGGGGAUAACUACUGGAAACGGUAGCUAAUACCGCAUAACGUCGCAAGACCAAAGAGGGGGACCUUCGGGCCUCUUGCCAUCGGAUGUGCCCAGAUGGGAUUAGCUAGUAGGUGGGGUAACGGCUCACCUAGGCGACGAUCCCUAGCUGGUCUGAGAGGAUGACCAGCCACACUGGAACUGAGACACGGUCCAGACUCCUACGGGAGGCAGCAGUGGGGAAUAUUGCACAAUGGGCGCAAGCCUGAUGCAGCCAUGCCGCGUGUAUGAAGAAGGCCUUCGGGUUGUAAAGUACUUUCAGCGGGGAGGAAGGGAGUAAAGUUAAUACCUUUGCUCAUUGACGUUACCCGCAGAAGAAGCACCGGCUAACUCCGUG
rnacentral:rRNA from 1 species